CCAGGUCCUGGUCUCAUGAGGCCGGACCAGGUCCUGGUCUCAUGAGGCCGGACCAGGUCCUGGUCUCACGAGGGCGGACCAGGUCCUGGUCUCACGAGGCCGGACCAGGUCCUGGUCUCACGAGGCCGGACCAGGUCCUGGUCUCACGAGGCCGGACCAGGUCCAGGUCCUGGGUCUGGGUCUCAUGAGUCCUGGGUCCUGGGUCUCAUGAGGCCGGACCAGGUCCAGGUCCUGGGUCUCAUGAGACUGCCCUGGACCAGGUCCUGGGUCUCAUGAGGCCUUUACACUGCCGAGCCGGUUCGGUCGUGGCUUGGCACGCCCGGCAAUUUCCCUGUCUUGCCUGUAAAACCGAGGAGGUGAAAUCCCCCGUCGUCCCGGAGCCGGCUGUCUUGGUUCACUGGAGAAGGCGGGGCUACGCACGGAGAGUAGCCCUCUUAAGAGGCCUAUCAUUUGCAUACAACGAAUGUUAUCAUUUUUUAUGACUAGAGAUUUGCAUGCAAGAAUGAGUUCACAUCUGAGUGUAGGCUAAAAACUAUUUCCAAGUGCAAAAACGACCACAUAUUAUUUUAUUUUGCUGACCACU